UGAGCUCCCUACCAGGCGGGUCUGCGGGUGGUGGAUUGCAGAAUGACUACAUUACAAAGUGGAUAAUGUAGUUAGUGCACAGAAUUGCACCCCGAACCAGCUCAAAAUUACCUUAUACCUUAACAGGUUAAGGUAUUUGUGCCAUUGUGUUCUGACACAAUGAAAAAUGUAUUUUUAUCACAGAAGAAUACUAGAACUUCUGAUGAGUUUUUUUUAAAUAUUUAAAAGAAGAUGAAUAAAUAAAAGGAACAAAGUUGUAACGAUAUACUUGGAAAUACAUGGAUUCUAUUAAAAAAUUCAUGGUAAAAAAAAAGAAGAAUGGUCUAUGGUGACCAAAAACGUUGAACAAAAGAAAACCUAUUUGGAGAUAUGAAAAUUCAUUCGAUGGGAAUAGAAUGCGAAGUAACCAAAAAGGUAUUUUAAUAAUGAUGGAUUUCAUAAUGGAAGCUUGUCAUAUAUUAGCAGUGGCGGACCUUUAUAUGUAAGGAUCAUGGCCUUUGAAAAUUAAAGUCAUAUGACAACAGAAGUGAUACCAACAGAGAAACCUCAAGGAGCAUUAGUCAACUUGGGGUUUAUUAACCCAAUUAAAAAAAACCAAGAAAGUUGGAAAAUGGGUAAUAUGAAUGCUGCAGCAAUGUGUAUUAAUUCAAAAAGAUUUUUAAAAAUGACAGCGGCAAAGAAUUAGGAAUGCCUUAUUUUUUGAAAAGAAAUUUGUAAAAGUCCUCCAACAAAAAGUAAUGUUGCUGCAUGUACAAUGAAAAUGUUUUAAAUAGGAAAAAUCGCCUAUUUAAAUGUUAAAUCGAAUAUUUUGGGAAAUAAGUUAGAGUUAGAAUUCGAAUUCUAAUUUAUAAAGAAUAACUGAAAAUCAUGGAUUUAACCAAAAUGCCAUAUUCGAAAUCAUUUAGCCUCUUCCAAUAUAAGGACAUAAAAAACUAAUUUCAGGUGGAACAAAAUCAUGUUAUUUUUUGAAUGUAAUUUUAUUUUCUUUUAAUUGGAACUUAUAUGAAAACAUGGAGGACUUAUUUUGUAACGAAGUUCAUUUUUAUGUCCCUUGAUAGUUUUGUGAUCAUGAAUCAUUUGUACAACAGAUUUAUAAGGAAAUUGUUACUAUAAUCCAAAAGCAAUUUUGUCACGAAUUGUAAUAUUAAAGGAAGAGGUCUAUAAGAAGACUAGUUUAAAUGGCAAUCGAAAGGCUUACAACAAACUAGUCUAACCUCAAAAAGGUUUAGUGAAAAAAAAAACGGCCAACGAUUUGCAUCCCUCAAGGGGAAAUCGCACUCCAUAUAUAUGCAGUUUAGGAAAUUUUCUCAAAUAAAAUAUAUUAUGUGAGACGACACACCAUAUACAUAUAAUAUUUGGGGAAUUAUAUUCUCAAUUUAGUUGACAAUUAUAUUGACAAUUUAGUUGGGAGAUUUAUGGAUUCCCCAUUUACUUUGUAACAUGGGAGAAUUUUGAUUCCCCAUUCACAUGUAAUUGAGUAGUCCUCAAUUACAUGUAAUAUGGGGGAAUAUACGCCCCCAUAUUUACGAUGGGCGAUACCGCAUAAAUAAAAAUAUUAACAAAAAAUCCUUGUCCAUUAAAGUUGAAAAAUUAUUUAAUGGCCAAACCAAAAAAAAUAAUAAAAAAUCAAUGUAAAAUGUAAA